UACGUAGGGUGCGAGCGUUAAUCGGAAUUACUGGGCGUAAAGAGUGCGUAGGCGGUGUCGAAAGUUUGGCGUGAAAUCUCCCGCUUAACUGGGAGGGUGCGCCGAAAACUGCGGUGCUGGAGUGUGGGAAAGGCAAGCGGAAUUCCUGGUGUAGCGGUGAAAUGCGUAGAUAUCAGGUGGAACACCGGUGGCGAAGGCGGUGGUCUGGGCCAGUACUGACGCUGAGGAGCGAAAGCGUGGGGAGCGAACAGG
rnacentral:rRNA from 1 species